AUGGUUGUUGAUGUCUCAAAAGAAUUUUCCCCUGAUAUAGUUGUAGGUUUUACGGAUCCACAUGUGACACUUAAUAUUGGAGUUGCAUUUUUUAGGGAAACUCCAAAAAGACCUUAUGACACAGUUAUAGUGGAUUCAUUUGAUCCUAUUGCUAGGACUGGAGUUGUGUAUGCAGUAGAGUUCUUCCACCGAAGUGGACAUGAUUCAAUUUAUAAAGAUAACAAGUUGAAGUUGGCUUUUCGGAUGGAACAAAAUUAG